rnacentral:rRNA from 1 species
GCGUACCGUAAGAGCCGAACGGAUGAGUACUAACCUCCGGUCGCGUGGCGUCGUUCCCUUCGGGGUUCGGGGUCCGCGGUCGUUGGGAGCGUAGUCCUGGUAGGCUAGCGCAGGGGUGACACGGAAUGGGAGCCGGCCGCGGAGGUGGUUUUCCGUGGUCAAGCACGCAGCCAGUCAUGUAGGCAAAUCCGCAUGGCGUGCAUGGCGAGGUGUGAUGAUGGGAGCCGUUAUGGCUCGAUAUCCGGUUGUCCAGGCCGUCGAGAAAAGCCUCGGCGUGAGGGCCAUGGCCGCCCGUACCCCAAACCGACACUGGUGGUCAGGUAGAGAAUACCAAGGCGAUCGAGCGAAUCCUGGUCAAGGAACUCGGCAAAUCACUCCCGUGCCUUCGGUAUAAGGGAGACCCGCUGGGGUGAACCGGCUAGCCCGGGGAGCUUUGGUGGGUGGCACAGACCAGGGGGUAGCGACUGUUUACCAAAAACACAGGUGCAUGCGAAGGCGAAAGCCGCUGUAUAUGCACUGACGCCUGCCCGGUGCCGGAAGGUUAAGAGGAUCCGUCAGUCCUUCGGGAUGAAGCGGUGAAUUCAAGCCCCGGUAAACGGCGGUGGUAACUAUAACCAUCCUAAGGUAGCGAAAUUCCUUGUCGGGUAAGUUCCGACCUGCACGAAUGGCGUAACGACUUCCCCACUGUCUCGACCAGGAGCUCGGCGAAAUUGCAGUACGAGUAAAGAUGCUCGUUAAGCGCAGAAGGACGAAAAGACCCCGGGACCUUUACUAUACCUUGGUAUUGGCGUUAGGCGCGGAUUGUGUAGCAUAGGCGGGAGGCUUCGAAGCGGGUGCGCCAGCAUUCGUGGAGCCGCAAGGUGAAAUACCGCUCUGUUCUCGUUUGACGUCUAACCUCGACAAGUCAUCCUUGUCAGGGACAGUGCCUGGCGGGUAGUUCAACUGGGGCGGUUGCCUCCCAAAGAGUAACGGAGGCGCUCAAAGGUCCGCUCAGCCCGGUUGGCAAUCGGGUGUCGAGUGUAAUCGCACAAGCGGGCUUGACUGCGAGGACGACGGUCCGAGCAGGGACGAAAGUCGGAGAUAGUGAUCCGGUGCCGGCGCACGGGCGCGGCAUCGCUCAACGGAUAAAAGGUACCCCGGGGAUAACAGGCUGAUCAUUCCCAAGAGUCCAUAUCGACGGGAUGGUUUGGCACCUCGAUGUCGGCUCGUCGCAUCCUGGGGCU